GCAGACACAUUCCAGCCAAUCAGCAGCAGACCCUCCCUCCCAGACCCUCCCACCUCCUGGACAGUUUACAAAGAAUGCAGCUUCACAAUGAAUGUAAAAUGGAUGCUGUCCAGGAGGUGGGAGGGUCUGGGAGGGAGGGUCUGCUGCUGAUUGGCUGGAAUGUGUCUG
rnacentral:miRNA from 1 species